CGUAGGUGAACCUGCGGAGGGAUCAUUACACAAAUAUGAAGGCGGGCUGGAACCUCUCGGGGUUACAGCCUUGCUGAAUUAUUCACCCUUGUCUUUUGCGUACUUCUUGUUUCCUUGGUGGGUUCGCCCACCACUAGGACAAACAUAAACCUUUUGUAAUUGCAAUCAGCGUCAGUAGCAAAUUAAUAACCACAACUUUCAACAACGGAUCUCUUGGUUCUGGCAUCGAUGAAGAACGCAGCGAAAUGCGAUAAGUAGUGUGAAUUGCAGAAUUCAGUGAAUCAUCGAAUCUUUGAACGCACAUUGCGCCCUUUGGUAUUCCAAAGGGCAUGCCUGUUCGAGCGUCAUUUGUACCCUCAAGCUUUGCUUGGUGUUGGGCGUCUUGUCUCUAGCUUUGCUGGAGACUCGCCUUAAAGUAAUUGGCAGCCGGCCUACUGGUUUCGGAGCGCAGCACAAGUCGCACUCUCUAUCAGCAAAGGUCUAGCAUCCAUUAAGCCUUUUUUUCAACUUUUGACCUCGGAUCAGGUAGGGAUACCCGCUGAACUUAAGCAUAUCAAUAAGCGGAGGAA
rnacentral:rRNA from 1 species